CAUUCAUAAUUGAUGAAAAAAUUCUACUGAAUAGACUUAAAAUGCAUAAACCAUUAUUUAUCUUCGUUUUAGUUACUUUCAUUCCUUCGUGCUUUACUAAGCAUUAUAAUUUCGAACGACGUGUAGUGCACACAUUUCCACAUCAUAUAAUUGAUGAGAGUCCUGUCAAUGUUGAUAUUUCGUCAAACAAUGAAGAAUCAGAUUUCUCGGAUAAUGCUGAUUACGAAGAUUUAGAUAGUGACAUAUAUGACAAACAGAAUAUCUGUCCAUUUGGCAUUUUCAAUUUUUUGAUUCCUUUCUGUUAGGCAUUGGUAAAAUGUAUUUUUCAUGGAUAGAUUGUUUCAAGGUAUAUAUAUCCUAUUUUGACGCCUGCUUUAUGUUUCCAUAUUGUAAUCCCAAGGUCUAUUAAACUGUGAUAAUUUUAAUUGAUACAAAAUUAAAAGUUAUGACAUUAAA